rnacentral:rRNA from 1 species
UACGAAGGGAGCUAGCGUUGUUCGGAAUCACUGGGCGUAAAGAGCUCGUAGGCGGUCUGUUGCGUCCGCUGUAAAAACUCGGGGCUUAACCCCGAGCCUGCAGUGGAUACGGGCAGACUAGAGGUAGGUAGGGGAGAAUGGAAUUCCCGGUGUAGCGGUGAAAUGCGCAGAUAUCGGGAGGAACACCGGUGGCGAAGGCGGUUCUCUGGGCCUUACCUGACGCUGAGGAGCGAAAGUGUGGGGAGCGAAUAGG